GGCCCGGCGGGGGCGUGAGGGGCCCGGGGGCAGCCAGCAGGGACCCGUCCCUGAGGAGAGAAAGAAAGAAAGAAAAGUGUCAUCACCUCGGCCGGGGGGCGGCUGGAGCCCUCCGGUGGUGUGCGGGGUCCGGCACGGAGGUGGCACCGCACAACAGUCGAGCAUCCACCUGUCUAGUUCUAGUCUGAAGUCACAGUUUUGGAAACUUGGUAAGAUGGCAGUGAGACCAUGCCAGCCUUUAGCCCUAAGUUUGUUGCGCUUGCCUAUCAGAGCUAAAGGAGAACUAGAUGUGCCCCAGCUUGGACAUGACUGUGAGCAUGUUAUGUUGGAUGAAGAAGGCAAAGCCAGAGUUACAAAAUGCCACACUUGCUAAGGAAGAGGAUAUUUUGGAGACUUCUAACAUGUUUUGAGUAUGGUCUUUUUUCAGGGCUUCUUUAAGUGCCAUGUGUUGCUGGGAGGUAUAUGAUAUAUGAAAUAUUCUUCUACCUGCUGCUAGCUAAAGGGAGAAACAGUUGCCUUUCCCUUUCUUAGCACUGCCUGUCUCUAGAGUACUUUGGCAUGGGUGAUGGGUGUCAGCAUUGUAUCUCUUUACUCACCACAGUGCCUAAAUGCUGCCACUAAACUUUCCAAAUCUGUAUCAGAAUUAAAAUAAGUUUUCUGUGCAUAAAUUUGCAAAUAGCUGCUCUAAGCUUGUCUAAAUCUAUUCCCUUUUCCUCCUCUGCUGCUCAGGAAACCUGUAUGCAGUGCAGAAAGGGACUGGCUCUUUAAAAGCUAUGUUUAAGUUCAUGUCAGUUCACAUUUCAACAUACAAAGUCAGUAAACACCUAUGUAUCUGAGUAGCUUUAAUAACAAGUGCCUGAAGGGUCAGAGCUGUGAUAUAUUAUUUCUGAAACCAUAAGGUUUAUGAAUUUUUACCUUUAUAUACGUUGUGUUCUCCAGAAACUAAUCAUCUAGAUGCCUGUCUUGGCAAAUAGUGUUUUAAGUCUUGCCAAAUGCUGAAAGUUGAUUUUGUUCAGGUUCUGUACAUAAAUAUUAAUCUUGUGCUCAUUACACGACAGGUAGCUUCAUGGGUUUUAAGCCUUGGUCCUUCAAACUACUACAGCUAGAGCUUUAUGGCCACGUUGGUGGCCAUGUCGACACAGGGGCACGAUGCUGAAAUAAUAGUUAUUACUGCUGAUUUAUAGGAAGCAGGAAUCGGGCGUCAUUAGGAAUAUCAAAAUCAAACAAAACCAGAAAAUGCAGAAAACCUCAUGGAACCAGAAUUUAUAUGUUUUUUUCCCCACAAAUAAAGUUGGAAGUGACUUCUUUUGCCAUCAGAGUUUCCAUUUAUUUAGAAAUCAAAGUUCUGUUCUAUUUGCCUGGUUAGUUCAUUUUAUAGCACCUGUUCCUCUGGAUCUUCUAUUGGUCAGCUGUGUGGUGGUGUAUGGAAGGUCAUUCACAGAGGAAAAUUAAUAAGCUCUAAUGGGCUCAAGUGAAAUAGAUGUACUACAGUUUUUAUCCCUUCUGCAGAAUGUCUGUUUUUGAAGUCAGGAGGAAAGCAAAAUUAUUGUUUAAGAAAUAUACUCUCAGUUGGAGUACAAAACCUUUUAUUUUGCCUACUGUGUUUCUAAACUGCUCCCUUUCUAUUUUCCAGAGAAACCCUGAAGCUUUUCUAGUUUCUUUGUCAAGAGUUUUAUCCUACUGCUAUUUUCAGGUUUUCCACUCUGGGGUUAAAAUAACUCAUGAUAGAAGAUUAUUUUUCUUUUGGAAGCUUUAUCUUACUGGACUAUCCAAAGCAGCUGAUAUGUAGUACAUAAGUAAAUUUUUCCAUUAAAGCAGACCAUUUCUGCAGAAAUCUGGCAGUACUUUCUCUUAACUGUAUCUUCCACAAACUGGACAGGAGGUGAAAUAGAUAGCUGUGCUUUCACAAGGAUUGUGGUGUACCUGCUAAGAGUGUCUAUAAGGCUGUUAAACAUUUGUUCAGGUGAAAAUCACAGUUCUAUGUUGUCAUAUGCACAGCUGGCCAAAUCUUACAUUGCUUAUUCCUGUAUGUGCAGUGGCUGAACUACCAAGCUGUUAAAGGCUUGCAGACUUUCACCUUGGGGCACCAAGAUACAGAAUUUCUUGGGCACUUUUUAGCACAUUUUUUAUUUCUGUUUUAAGAUAUAUAUUGUAAAAAUAAAGUUUAGGUAGAAUAUCUUGGCGGGUUUUUUUCCUGCAAAGUUUUUUCCUGCUUUUUGCCCGUACUCCACCUUCUUUGGCUAUGCCAGUCUGCCAGUUAUAUGUUUCACAUCUCUUUUCUUUUUCUUUUCAUUUGUCCUUUUUGAGAUUCUGCUAUCUUUUCGUGUGCCCAACAUCUGUACCAGAGUACAAUGCUGCACUCUCUUACCUGUGGCUAAAUUAGCUUGGUAUAUGUAGCAUCACUUUGUCAUUAAAUUGAUAAUCAUAAUUAUUAGAGCAUACUGUGGAUGACAUUAAUUAUAAACUGAGAUUCUCUCACUUGGUAAGAAUGGUUGUGGAUUUUUUUAAUCAAACAAAGUAAGAUUUCACUGUAAUUUGACACCAGGGAUGACGUGUGUAUGUGUGACAGCAUAUCUGUGUUCGUGACAAUCACGUGAGAAUCCGUCCGACUUGCAGUGGGCAUUAUUUGACUUGCUAGCUCAGUUAAAAAACAGGUAAGAUUGUUGGAAAGUGAUGGAGGGGCAAGGUUUGUAAUUGUUAGUAAAUUAGUCACAAAAUUCCCUGAAGCUGAACUAAGGAAUACAGAAUCUAGAUGUGACUAUAUUCUCCCUCAAUAAUUUCUAAAGUCAUGUUUGAUACUUACCAUUUUUUACCUGCAUUGUCCUGAGUUAUGCUUCUUAUUUGAGGAAAAAGCAGUGAGAUAAUGCUGAUGUGUUUUACCAGAGCUAUUAUGUUAUUUCUGGUUUUAUGUUGAUUGUUAUUACUCUUGAGUCUUCAUUUUUGAAAUUUGUAUUCUGCCUGGAUUGGCGCUGAAACUUGCAUGUCUGUGCUGUGAAACUCUAUUAAGCAUUAAGAAAACAAGCUUGUGGUAGUUGUAGCAAAGAAAUUGGAAAGAGUAAAGCCUUUAUUUGCACUGACAAUGAAUUGCAGUGAGCAAUAGUUCUUCAAAACGAAGGUCCUGAUUCUUAGGUUUCCCCCACAUGGAGAUUAUCACAGGAUCAAGGCCUGAAUCAGCUAUCAGGUAGGCUCUGGUCCCUUUGUAUAAUGUAGGUUUAGAUUUGCAACAGAAUCUGCUCCUCUCCUACCUAAAGAUUACAAUUGAAAUGUCAACAUUGUCAGCCAGCGAGGAAAAUUUGGGCGGAGCAGAGAGCAGAAGGUGGGGAAAGAGCAAGAAGAAAGCUACCAGCCUAGGAGAAUGCUUUAAUGGCAUUCUUCAGCCAUGAGUUUCUAUGGAGCUUUCUCAAGACAUUAGGUGUUUUUCUGAGGAGAGAGCAGAAGGUUUUGCAGUUGUGUUGGUGAUGUUAAGGUUGAAAGUUGAAACUGUAAUGCACAGGUUGAUGAUGGAAGUAAUAACAGGCAAUAUUGGGUUUGCAUUUUGCUGUUGGUUUGCAUGUUACACUGCAUUAAAAAGAAUCACUGGAUUAGGUGGAACCAUCAAGAGGAAGGGGGAGAUUGCUCCUUUUCGUUAAGAGCAGCUGACUGACUUUGGGAGAGAAGACUCAAGACAGUAGGCAGAGCAAGAAAGAAAUUUAAAAACCACGGCAAAAAACAGAGAGGCUUUUGCUCAAGUGGGAAUAUAGUUGAAAGGAUUAGAGGGCAUGUGGUCAGACCUAUAGAUGAUACGAAUGAAAACUUCCUAGGGACUAUGCAGAGAUUGUUUCAACCCAAACAGCCAUCUAAUUACCUGAAGCCAAGCAUGGAAAACACUACCUUUUAAAUACAUAGUAGACAAGAAAUAAUUCAUGUAUAAGCCUUUUUACUGUUCUAAUAGGAUUAUUUAAUAAAAGUGCUGCUGAGAGACUGGCGUAUGUGGAACGGUGGAUGUGGUGUGUCUGCAAUGUUGUAAGUUUUUUGGUUGUGGGUUUGGGUUUUUUCCUUUUUCUUGAAACAUGCAAGUUUAUCUGGAUUUCGCUUAGGAAGAAACCUACUCUGUGGUGGACUGCUAGCCAGUGAAGGGUACUGCACAAAGCACAUCCUGCUCUCCCCACUUCAGUAGUGACAUUCUGCCAGCGAGUGGAAAGGGAGCAGUAUGAGACCAGCACAUCAGUUGUGGGGUUUUUUCUGGGAGAAGCUGGAAGGGUAGUCUAGGUCUUCUGGAACACCUCAUUUGGGAAGGAGGGGAAGGGACUAGGGACACCUCUAAAUGUCUAUUCUGUCCAUUCUUACAGCAGGGACACUGGGGAGGUGUGGCCUUACCAGACCAUUCUUUGCAAGCAGAAUUGAGUAUUUAAGACAACCCAGUGGUAAGUGUGGUCACCAACAGCAGGAGAAAUAGCACAAAAUCGGAAAACGUGCUCUGCUGGUGUUUCACAUCUUUGGCAAACACACCAUUUCUCACGGUAUUGACCUUGGGACAGUUAUCUUCUGUUCUUUUAUUUAGAAGUGUUUCUAAUUUGUAUAAAUGCUCAAUUAUUUGCCAGGUGUGCAGCUUGUGUCACGUCCCUUAUGUUCCAGAUGAAAGCUCUAGCCACUGUCGUGUGGGGGAGAGAGAGACUUGUUUCUUGGCUCCAGUAAAUACUUCUGAAGACUCAUUUGAAAUGUUAGAGAAUGCAUUUCCUUCAUCACUGACUAAUUUCAUAAGCCUCACUCUGGGACAUCUCACUGUGUCCUUUGCACAGGCUGAUUCAUCUGUGUCUGUCAUACAUAAAAAAGGAUCUGAAUUUGUCCCUCCAUGAUGGAAAUGGUAUGAUUGUGUAGCAUAGCAUAAUGUAAUACCUCAUGACAGAAUAUAUAGUGCAAGUUUUGGGUGGCGUUGUUUUUCUUCCUUCUUUGAAUUUGUGCUUAAGAUACUGCUGAUGAGGAACAGUUAAAGUUAAAAAGUAGGUAUUCAUUUUGGUCUU